rnacentral:rRNA from 1 species
UACGUAGGGUGCAAGCGUUAAUCGGAAUUACUGGGCGUAAAGGGUGCGUAGGCGGUUUUGUAAGUCUUGUGUGAAAUCUUCAGGCUCAACUUGAAGACUGCACGAGAAACUGCAGGGCUUGAGUGUGGGAGAGGUGAGUGGAAUUCCUGGUGUAGCGGUGAAAUGCGUAGAUAUCAGGAGGAACACCUGUGGCGAAAGCGGCUCACUGGACCACAACGUGACGCUGAUGCACGAAAGCUAGGG